ensembl:lncRNA
CAGAAAGUGUCUAGGAGCACGUUUCAGGCCAAUUUGAGUCGUUUGCUAAUGGGUUAGGGUUAGGUUAAGGGCAACCUACCACUUUUCUAAAACGUUUUUUUGGACCUAGCUCGGGCAAACAGCGGGGCGUGGGAAUUCCGAGACCACACUCGGAUAGCUCUAGCCCCAGCGGACUUUUUUGGUCCUGGUGAACCCUCGGCAUAGCCACUAAUGUAGGCUAGGGUGCGAAAAUUUGAAACUGGCUAAAAGGCGUAAAUACUAAGUCCCGGGUGCACCCUCGGCCUAGUCCCUAAUGUGGGCGAUAUUUUAGAAAUUGGCAAAUUCCUGUGUUCCAUACACCUCACAACCCCAGGAAAUGCUAAAACAAUUACAAAAUAACCUGCACCUCAAGAAAAUAGUACCAGGUAUUUUAACAUUGUUUAGUUUUAAAUAAAGCAAAAAAACUUACCUCAGAGUAGUCCUCCGUCUUCGUUGGUUCAUUUUGGUAUGGUAACUAUGAAGCAGAAGGGAGGGAAUUGUAUCUAACGCGUGUGAGAGAAAUACCGUAGAGCUACUUCGAGCCCCAGGCUCUCUGCGGGUCUGGCUAACAGCUCUGCACUCCAAUCUCUCUGUCGAGCUUGAUAGGGUCAAGUGGGCGUGGCCGGUGCGACGUAAUAGUUCCUCCCUCCACGCUUGUCUAAAGGUGCUGCCAUCUGUGGCCGGAGUAGUUAUUGCAGCUUAUGUGUUCGAUCCUGCUUCCUAGUGGCUAUGUGAGGGUUAUGCAGCUUGUCUGUUCGAACCUGCUUCCCAGCGGCUAUGUGGGGGCAGCUUAUGUGCUUAAAAUACGUAACAAUAUCAUUCUAAACAAAUACAAAAUGGUCACCAAGGUCAAGACCCCCCUCCCCACACCACACUCUACAGACAUUAUUCGAGAGCGCCACCUAUUGGACAAGGAUGCAAUUCAGGUCUAUAAGUAACAAGACAAGAAAAUACAAUUCACAAUAAGUGCUUUUGGUCUGUCAUAUUUUGCAUAUUGUAAUGUAAUAAUAAUUAUAACAUAACAAAGGGUUCUCGUCUUCAUUUCCGACGAGAACGGCCGGUCAAAAGCGUUGAUUUCACGGGGAUUCGAUCCGACGCUUUGGGUGUCUCUGUUGUCGUUCGCUGAUUGCUGGGUUGUAAAAAAAAAGAAGUUCUUUAUCGACGCGACGAGUGACGUGGGUUUUUUUCCUCUUUUCUGUCGGAUAAAUAAAGAGAAGAACGUUUCUUAGCCACGUUAUAGGAAGGUUACCGUUCUUCACUAUCGGGGUCCAGCCCGCGGCGCAGCCGCAGGACGGUCCCCUUUGGCGCCCCCUUCCGGCCACCGCACCUCUGUCCCGUCCCGGUCCCGGCGGGCACCUCGGACCGGGAAUUCGUCCGGUCCAACCGACGGUUCGGGGUCGAAAUUGGAACGCAUCGUCGGCUUUAAGCAGAGGCCGAAAUCGGAACGACCGGAACGAAACGGAACGCACAGGGUCAGGUCGGGACACGGGUGGAAACGCCCAUGUCGAGGGACCGGUGCCGUUAUAAACAAGCAUUGUCUAAUUCAACCUGUGUCCGUUAAACAAGCGUUUGUCUAAUUCAACCUGUGUCCGUUAUUGCAAUACAUCGCUUGUUUAUCAAAGAAGGCUUUAUUUUCAAUGCAUUUGUUUAUUAAAGAAUGGCUUUAUAUUCAAUGUAUUGCUUAUUAAAGAAGGCUUUGUUUUCAAUGUGAUUGUUUCUUAAAGAAUGGCUUUAUUUCGAGACGCUUUUAAUGUAUUGCUUUUUUAUUAUUCAACUAAACAAAACAUUUGUUAUCAUUGUUGUUGUGGACUUGUUGCUUAAACUAAAAAGAAGGGACAAGCGUGUGUAAUACAAAUAGAUUUAUUAAAUAACAACAAGCACAACACAGGAGGGGGGUUCCCGGGGAGGAGCAGCCUCACACUCUGCCGGGGCUGUGUUCCUCUCCAAGGUCUGACGCCGGGCCCUUCACCCUCCUCUCCUCCCGCUGCUUCCUCUGCUUCCUGGUGAACGGAUUUCAACGUCGAAUUUUAGUUCUUUAGGUAAAUGCAAGCAGUUUACUUCGAAACACAUUCAGAAACAAUCAAUUCACCUCUUUGGCUUUCGCCUCUUGCGGUCCCUCCUCUCGGCCAGCCACAGGUCUACGCCUUUGCCGACGUAGAGGGAGCAGAAACUCUCCCCCUCUUACCGACUAUGGCCAAAGUCUUUCUGCGCCGGCUGGAGGCACCGCUGGUAGAUCUGCAGCUAGUGCGGUUUGCGUCCAGGGGAAGAGGAGCCGCCGACCUGCCCCUCCUUCCUGCGGGCGAUGUUCCACAGGGUGGUCCUGGGCACCUUCCCGGCGUCCUCCAGGGCCUGUUGGCUGAUGAGCCACUCACGAGCGGUGAGGCACCCAGGGCCCGCCUCCGACUCGCAGUACACGCUGCUCUUGUAGAGCGCGUGCCCCGUGUCCAGGGUCCUGGGUUGGGCGCACGUGGGGCAGGGGUCCCCCGUCUGGCAUUGGGGCUUCCCCUUUUGCUCCUCCAGCACCCGGGUGUCCUGCCUCAGGUGAGACUUGAAGCGUGGCGCCCCCCUGUGCUUCCUCUUUGAUGGAAGAGGAGGAGGAGGAGCAGCAGCGCUGUCGGACUCUGAACACAAGGGACUUGUAGGUCCGGUGUGAGUGCACCCUGAACCACACCCGCGCGUCGCCCAGCCCCCUGGUAGACACGGAGCCCUCGCACAACCUACGCCUGGCGACGGCCUUCACCAUGGGUCGAAACAGCCCGGCGUUGGAGGCAUCAGAGGUGCGAAGGGGGUGAGCUCAGAGGAAGGGGGUUCGAACCGGAAACGGGGAACAAAAGACAUUUCCUGAAAGACAAGAAGAAACAAAACAAGUCAGUCAAGUGUAUUAAAAUGUACUAAUUGGGUGUUAAGAUAACAAUGUUGAUAUCAAUGUUAAUGUCAGGAGAUCAGCCCAUUAGGCAGGCCCGCCGCUCCCUAUACGCAGAGUGCUUAGCUCACCAAGUACCUGGGGGGGACUCAAUUUCGGCAAAUUAGAGGUUUUUACCCAAUAUAUAAAAAGAGGCCUAUAACCAUUAGGGGUGUUAGGGUAAUACUGUUAUUGUCAAUAGAACAUUAGGUUUAGCCUGAGAGUGACCUGUUGCCCUCCACCCACUCUUAACACCUCUCAUUUGCAAAUCACGGUUGCAUUACAAACACCGAAAUCACACAUUAAUAAUUUCACAUUUAGACCACCCAUUAGA